AGCGAACGCUGGCGGCAGGCCUAACACAUGCAAGUCGAACGAACCUUCCGGGGUUAGUGGCGGACGGGUGAGUAACACGUGGGAACGUGCCUUUAGGUUCGGAAUAACUCAGGGUAAUUUGUGCUAAUACCGACUGUGCCCUUCGGGGGAAAGAUUUAUCGCCGUUGGUGCGGCCCGCGUCUGAUUAGCUGGUUGGUUGUGGUAGUGGCUCUCUAAGGCGACGAACAGUGGCUGGUCUGAGAGGAUGAUCAGCCACAUUGGGACUGAGACACGGCCCAAACACCAACGGAGGGCCGCAAUGGUGAUUCUUGCGCACUGGGCGAAAGCCGAACGCAGCCAUGCCGCGUGGAUGAUGAGGGUCUUAGGAUUGUAAACUUCUUUCUCCGGGGACGAUAAGAACGGAACCCGGGAAUGAGCCCCGGCCAACCUUGUG
rnacentral:rRNA from 1 species